rnacentral:rRNA from 1 species
GACGAACGCUGGCGGCGUGCUUAACACAUGCAAGUCGAACGGAAAGGCCCUGCUUUUGUGGGGUGCUCGAGUGGCGAACGGGUGAGUAACACGUGAGUAACCUGCCCUUGACUUUGGGAUAACUUCAGGAAACUGGGGCUAAUACCGGAUAGGAGCUCCUGCUGCAUGGUGGGGGUUGGAAAGUUUCGGCGGUUGGGGAUGGACUCGCGGCUUAUCAGCUUGUUGGUGGGGUAGUGGCUUACCAAGGCUUUGACGGGUAGCCGGCCUGAGAGGGUGACCGGCCACAGGGGGACGGAGAGACGGCCCAGACUCCUACGGGAGGCAGCAGUGGGGAAUAGUGCGCAAUGGGCGGAAGCCUGAUGAAGCAACGCCGCGUGAGGGAUGACGGCCUUCGGGGUGUAAACCGCUUUCGCGUGUGACGAAGCGUGAGUGACGGGAAUGGGUAAAGAAGCACCGGCUAACUACG